UACGGAGGAUGCAAGCGUUAUCCGGAUUUAUUGGGCGUAAAGCGCGUGUAGGCGGCUUGGCAAGUCCGCUGUGAAAACUCGAGGCUCAACCUCGAGAUGUCGGUGGAAACUGCUUGGCUAGAGUCCGGAAGAGGAGUGUGGAAUUCCUGGUGUAGCGGUGAAAUGCGCAGAUAUCAGGAAGAACACCUAUGGCGAAGGCAGCACUCUGGGACGGUACUGACGCUGAGACGCGAAAGCGUGGGGAGCGAACAGG
rnacentral:rRNA from 1 species